rnacentral:rRNA from 1 species
AGGAAUAUUGGUCAAUGGGCGAUGGCCUGAACCAGCCAAGUAGCGUGAAGGAUGACUGCCCUAUGGGUUGUAAACUUCUUUUAUAAAGGAAUAAAGUCGGGUAUGCAUACCCGUUUGCAUGUACUUUAUGAAUAAGGAUCGGCUAACUCCGUGCCAGCAGCCGCGGUAAUACGGAGGAUCCGAGCGUUAUCCGGAUUUAUUGGGUUUAAAGGGAGCGUAGAUGGAUGUUUAAGUCAGUUGUGAAAGUUUGCGGCUCAACCGUAAAAUUGCAGUUGAUACUGGAUGUCUUGAGUGCAGUUGAGGCAGGCGGAAUUCGUGGUGUAGCGGUGAAAUGCUUAGAUAUCACGAAGAACUCCGAUUGCGAAGGCAGCCUGCUAAGCUGCAACUGACAUUGAGGCUCGAAAGUGUGGGUAUCAAACAGGAUUAGAUACCCUGGUAGUCCACACGGUAAACGAUGAAUACUCGCUGUUUGCGAUAUACAGUAAGCGGCCAAGCGAAAGCGUUAAGUAUUCCACCUGGGGAGUACGCCGGCAACGGUGAAACUCAAAGGAAUUGACGGGGGCCCGCACAAGCGGAGGAACAUGUGGUUUAAUUCGAUGAUACGCGAGGAACCUUACCCGGGCUUGAAUUGCAACUGAAUGAUGUGGAGACAUGUCAGCCGCAAGGCAGUUGUGAAGGUGCUGCAUGGUUGUCGUCAGCUCGUGCCGUGAGGUGUCGGCUUAAGUGCCAUAACGAGCGCAACCCUUAUCGAUAGUUACCAUCAGGUUAUGCUGGGGACUCUGUCGAGACUGCCGUCGUAAGAUGUGAGGAAGGUGGGGAUGACGUCAAAUCAGCACGGCCCUUACGUCCGGGGCUACACACGUGUUACAAUGGGGGGUACAGAAGGCAGCUACACGGCGACGUGAUGCUAAUCCCUAAAGCCUCUCUCAGUUCGGAUUGGAGUCUGCAACCCGACUCCAUGAAGCUGGAUUCGCUAGUAAUCGCGCAUCAGCCACGGCGCGGUGAAUACGUUCCCG